CGCGGCCUAUCAGCUUGUUGGCGGGGUAACGGCCCACCAAGGCAACGACGGGUAGCUGGUUUGAGAGAACGAUCAGCCACACUGGAACUGAGACACGGUCCGGACUUCUACGGGAGGCAGCAGUAGGGAAUCUUGCGCAAUGGGCGAAAGCCUGACGCAGCGACGCCGCGUGCGGGAUGACAGCCCUAGUGGUUGUAAACCGCUUUCAGCAGGGACGAAAAUGACGGUACCUGCAGAAGAAGUCCCGGCUAACUACGUGCCAGCAGCCGCGGUAAUACGUAGGGGACAAGCGUUGUCCGGAUUCAUUGGGCGUAAAGAGCUCGUAGGCGGUUCAGCAAGUUGGGUGUGAAAGCUCCGGGCUCAACCCGGAGAGGCCACUCAAUACUGCUGUGACUAGAGUCCAGUAGAGGAGCGUGGAACUCCUGGUAUAGCGGUGAAAUGCGCAGAUAUCAGGAAGAACACCGGCAGCGAAGGCGGCGCUCUGGGCUGGUACUGACGCUGAGGAGCGAAAGCAUGGGUAGCAAACAGGAUUAGAUACCCUGGUAGUCCAUGCCGUAAACGUUGGGCACUAGGUGUGGGGAGGAAUCAACCCUCUCUGUGCCGUAGCUAACGCAUUAAGUGCCCCGCCUGGGGAGUACGG
rnacentral:rRNA from 1 species